rfam:Asian citrus Psyllid, Diaphorina citri - Florida Strain, whole genome shotgun sequence.
ACUGGCGGCAGCAAGUUGAAAGCACCAGUUACCAAUGGCAUCACUGAAGUUAAGCAACGUUGAGCAUGGUUUGCAUCAGUAUGGGUGACCAUCUGGGCAAUCUCGUGUUGCUAGGU